rnacentral:rRNA from 1 species
AACGAACGCUGGCGGCAGGCCUAACACAUGCAAGUUGAACGCCCGUAGCAAUACGGGAGUGGCAGACGGGUGAGUAACGCGUGGGAACGUGCCCUUCGGUUUGGAAUAACUCAGGGAAACUUGAGCUAAUACCAAAUACGUCCGUAAGGAGAAAGAUUUAUCGCCGAAGGAUCGGCCCGCGUCGGAUUAGCUAGUUGGUGAGGUAACGGCCCACCAAGGCGACGAUCCGUAGCUGGUCUGAGAGGAUGAUCAGCCACACUGGGACUGAGACACGGCCCAGACUCCUACGGGAGGCAGCAGGUGGGGAAUAUUGGACAAUGGGCGAAAGCCUGAUCCAGCCAUGCCGCGUGAGUGAAGAA